GACGAACGCUGGCGGCGCGCCUAACACAUGCAAGUCGAGCGAGAACCGGGGCUUCGGCCCCGGGGACAGCGGCGAACGGGUGAGUAACACGUGGAUAACCUGCCCUCGGCACCGGAAUAGCCCGGGGAAACUCGGAUUAAUGCCGGAUAGCCCCACAUCCCUGCGGGGAACGGGGGAAAAGGUAGCUUCGGCCUCUGGCCGGGGCUGGGUCCGCGGUGGAUUAGCUUGUCGGCGGGGUAACGGCACCACGGCGACGAUCCAUAGCGGGUCUGAAAGGACGAUCAGCCACACUGGGACUGAGACACGGCCCAGACUCCUACGGGAGGCAGCAGUGGGGAAUCUUGCGCAAUGGGCGAAAGCCUGACGCAGCGACGCCGCGUGCGGGAAGAAGGCCUUAGGGUUGUAAACCGCUUUCAGGAGAGACGAAGCCACUCGGGUUAAUAGCCCAGAGGGUGACGGUACCUCCAGAAGAAGCCCCGGCUAACUACGUGCCAGCCGCCGCAGUAACAC
rnacentral:rRNA from 1 species